rnacentral:rRNA from 1 species
UACGGGGGGAGCAAGCGUUGUUCGGAUUUACUGGGCGUAAAGGGCGCGUCGGCGGCCACCGCAAGUCGACUGUGAAAUCUCCGGGCUUAACCCGGAAAGGUCAGCCGAUACUGCGGGGCUAGAGUGCAGAAGGGGCAACUGGAAUUCUCGGUGUAGCGGUGAAAUGCGUAGAUAUCGAGAGGAACACCUGCGGCGAAGGCGGGUUGCUGGGCUGACACUGACGCUGAUGCGCGAAAGCGUGGGGAGCAAACAGG